CCUACGGGAGGCAGCAGUGAGGAAUAUUGGACAAUGGUCGAAAGACUGAUCCAGCCAUGCCGCGUGCAGGAAGACGGCCCUAUGGGUUGUAAACUGCUUUUGUUUGGGAAGAAACCUUUCUACGUGUAGAAAGCUGACGGUACCAUACGAAUAAGCACCGGCUAACUCCGUGCCAGCAGCCGCGGUAAUACGGAGGGUGCAAGCGUUAUCCGGAUUUAUUGGGUUUAAAGGGUCCGUAGGCGGACUUAUAAGUCAGUGGUGAAAUCCUGCAGCUCAACUGUAGAACUGCCAUUGAUACUGUAAGUCUUGAAUUCGGUUGAAGUGGGCGGAAUAUGGCAUGUAGCGGUGAAAUGCUUAGAUAUGCCAUAGAACACCGAUUGCGUAGGCAGCUCACUAAGCCUGGAUUGACGCUGAGGGACGAAAGCGUGGGUAGCGAACAGGAUUAGAUACCCUGGUAGUCCACGCCGUAAACGAUGAUUACUCGACAUUAGCGAUACACGGUUAGUGUNAUAGAGAAGANAUAAUACUACACGAGGAGUACGUCGAGAGAGAGANANANAGAGUAGNGNGAGAGAGNGACGAGACGACGACGGAGGAGGAG
rnacentral:rRNA from 1 species